GGGUUGGGCAUUGAGAACUGAUUCCUACUUGAAAUCAUUUUAAAAAUUACAAUUCCAGUGGAAAAGUUUCUGGAAUCGUUUGGAGGAUUGGGUUUCAAAUCUGAUCAUCGGAUCCAAAUUUAAUAAGCGCAAGUUUUGUUGUCCGUAGCAGCCAGGCGCUUGUUAUGU